AUUAAAAGGAGCGUCGAGCAAUAAAUUCUACACUUUAAUUUCUGUUGUCAGUGAAUUGUGUAAAGUCAAGUCUGUUACAUUCCAUCACUGUUUCGUGUUGUAACAGGAGUGGCAGGUUGAAUCAGGGGGCAGGGCUUCAUUUCCUUCUUUCUGUUUCAUUUACUCACAACUUACAAUGGUGAGUAGCUGCUUUCAUGUGUUCUCCUUUACCAGGAUUUAAUGUUGUUAUGAUUAAAUUAUAUAUUGUUACUUUAAUUUCUGUUGUCAGUGAAAUGUGUAACUGUUGUGUGUUAUGUUUUAUUUCCUGUUGCAUCAGGCUGCUAAACGGAAGAGGUGAGUCUAAUGAUUUACUGAACUACACGUUAUAACUGCAUUCUGCUUUUUAUUUUCUAAAGACAAUUUAUGUUUAUUAUUUUAGACUAAAUGAAUUGGAGGCUAAGUAUUUCAAUUUGAACGCUUCCUUUAUUAGCACCGAAAUGGUGGCGCUGGAUGACCCUCUUUCAACAAAAGCUCCAAAGUUAGUGGAUGAGGUAAGUCUGAUGGAGACUGUUGACUUUAAGUUCUGUAUUUGGACAUAAUUCAUGGCUGUUAUGGUUCAUCUCCUUUGCCAGGAUUUAAUGUUGUUAUGAUUAAAUUAUAUAUUGUUACUUUAAUUUCAGUUGUCAGUGAAAUGUGUAACUGUUGUGUGUUAUGUUUUAUUUCCUGUUGCAUCAGGAGGCUGAACGGAGAAACAAUGAAUUGGAGGCUACAUAUUUCAAUUGGAACGCUUCCUUUAUUAUCAACAAAAUGCUGGAGCUGAAUAACCCUAACCCUUCAACACAUACUACACUGUUAGUGGAUGAGAUUCUUCACAGCAUCUUCUUUUUGGGAAAGUUAAACGAUCCAACAUUUUCCCCACAAAACAUUCAUGCCUGAUGAAGAAAUCUUUAAUGGAUUGAGGGAAACCUUCCCUCGGCCUUUUGAUCUCUAUUCCUCUCAAGUGCCGAAGCGGAGUCCAUUCUCAUGUGUGCUGGACAUGAUUGUUGACCUGAUUGGACAAGAGAAUGAACAAAAAAUAAAAGAGAAGCUUCAAAACUUCAUCUCUGAAAUGAAGCGGGGACGUAAAUCAAAGCCUCUGGUCUCCUCCACCAUCUGUGUCUCUCAGAGCACCGAUAUCAGGUACUACGGGGUCUCCAUGUCCACUUCUGACGGUGUUCCUAGAAAGAUCAUGAUUGCUGCGUCCUGUUUUAGCAGCUGGGACGAAUAUGUAGCUGGUGCAGUGAUCACCUACCAUCCAGCGAAGGUCAAGAAGACAUAUUUUGAUGGAACCAUCACACUUCCAGAGACAGUCAGGUGCCAGGCGUUUAGCCUCCUCAGGGGAGGAAGCAUUAUGCCUCCUUGCAGAUCAUGUGGGAAUUUGUUUGGUUUGACAACACAUGAUACAAAGGAGUGGGGCUAUGGCAACUGUGCUGAAGCUGAAAGUGUGAGCAACUUGUUUAAAAAAGUUCAAGAAGUAAGAGAGGAAGCACGACCAACAUCAACGACGUGCACACCUGAGAACUGGAUGAGGGCUAAGGAAGCAGUCGAGAAAGAUCUCAAGAAUUUGCUGAAAACUAAGGGAUUUAAUUGGGAUAAUAAUUUCUACACCCCAGGGGGAGUCUAAUCCUAAAAAGGGAAAUGAUUGAAUGUUAAAUAUUGAUAAGUGCAAAUGUUUUGGUCCUUAAUUAUAGAGUGACCAGAUAGAUCUCUUUUGAUAUUAAUCAGUACAAUUAGCUCCUUGUGAUGUGUAACAAUGAAGAUAUUAAUACAUUCAUGGCAAAAAUUAUUAAGCCAAAUGUGUGUUAACUGAUUGAAUGAAGCAUGCAGAAGUUGAUGUAUUGAUCAUGUUAUUAACAAUAAAUUUUACUGUGACUUAAACUCCGCUUC
ensembl:lncRNA